rnacentral:lncRNA from 1 species
CCAGAGGUUCUUGGGAAUCUGGGGGUUGAACACUCUCAGGCAUAUCACCCCUAGCUCCCUGUUUGGCUGCCAGGUCCCACUCCUUAUCAGGAUCUUCACUGCCCCAUAGAGACCCUGCAGGGCUGUGACUUCAACCUCCUUCCUUACUCCAACACUCAGUCAGGACCUAGAUCUGACAGUCUUCAUGAUCUGCAGGAGAUGAAAGCAUUUAAAUGGCGCCAUGAAAUCUUCUGGCCUUCACACUGUGUUCCAAGUUUAUGGUCAGCUGGCUUGAGCCUGUCAUCUUCUUUUGGGGUUUCAAUUUCAGUUAACUAAUCAACUCUGGUCUGUUGCUGCCAUAUCUCUAAAGUGCCGGCGCUCUUGCAUUAGCAGGAUGCAUCUCCUUCCAGCAAAUUCCAUCUCAAUUCACUGCAGAUGACAAUUUCACAGAACUUAUCUGCAAGAUAAGAUGAAAAGCUUUCAGAGUCUUUGGAAACUCUGCUUAAUACCAGCAUUGGGGUCUUGUUCCCUUUGGGCAUGUGAGUGAUUCCAUUCCAGACCCCCAUCCCGAGGGUCUCAUCCCAGGCCCACUGCUGGUGCCCACCAUCCCAGGAUGGGUACUCCCUGAAUCAGACCCUGACACAAGGAUCUGAGUGCAAGGCGUUUAACUGCAAAAGGAUCCAGAAAGCACUAGCAGAGAUGGAGCAGGGCAUGAAGCCAGUACAGGGCAUGGUGUCCAGCAGGAACCUCCAUGGAAGCCUGGGGAUUAACUGUGCUGUUAACACUGUUGAACAGCAUCACUGCUGCCCAGGGAUGAGGAAACACCUCCUGCCAUGGCUGAGCGCUGCUUCUGGGGGCAUUCACUUGAUGGCAGCCCCAAAAGCCCCAAGCAGAGAACCAGGGGUUCCAGUUGAAGAACUGGCCAUCUCCCUGCAGGGGAGGUGACCCAUGGUUCCAGGGACAUUUUGCUCUGGGAUGCCAGGAGUGGCCCCCUGGUGGAAAAAUCCCACACACCAGCUCCUGUGGAUUAACACUGUCCCUCUGGGUAACAAUGCUGCAUCCCAGGGAAGAAAACCCGUUGAAAGGUCGCCCCUUAGGUGAAAACUUCAGGCACUGCGGUAGGAAGGUGAUUUUGAGAUUCAGGAUUUUUUGCAGAGCCCCUCAACAUAUAUGGAAGGUACUAACAGAGCUGGCCUGCGUUGUCUUGGCCUGCAGAACACGUUCCCAUCGGCUGACCUCAUAGCAUGCAAUGAAGACUGCAGUCUGGGAACCAAGUGACAUGCUAGGGUGGCGGCAGACCGGGGGCUCCAUGGCGGGCCUUGUGAUCCUGUGUCCCUAGGCCAGCCUGUCCUGUGAGCUGCCCCACGCACUCACUGUGAGAGAGCACCUGGGAGACACGUGCACACACCAUCCUGAUACUGCUCAGAAAGUCUCACACACGGGAAAACCUGCGGACUCUAAGGUGUCCCGAGAGGGAAUCAGAGGAGCCCCGAGCACUUGCGGGAACGUCUUCAAGUUAGAAGGCUUAGGGUCCUGAUGGAUUCCCGACGUCAGCAUCACCCAAUCCCUGGGAUUGGCCCUGCAGGAGGCCCCCGGUCCAGCGGGCAUGCAGUGACCUUCUAGGCCCACAAGAGGGAGCCAGUGUGGCGCGGGCAGCUGUCGGCCGCACCCGCAGGAGGCUGGGCGCGGAGCCCAGGUGGGGAAGGAAGAGGUCCUGGGGAGCAGGACAGAGGCCUGAGAGAGACCCAAGCUCCGAGUGACGCAGAGGCGCUGACGUUUGCAUUAACCGCGUUUAACGUAAAAACGCGUGCGUGGGGAUUCCACGGUUUACUCGCACUGCCGAGUGUGCGUGGUUUUCUGGACUCAGCGGACGAACGCGUGCAGACGCGGAGCGCAGACGCGUG